ensembl:lncRNA
GGUUUAUCUUUUCUAUUUUUAAAGAAGAGAUGUUAAAGCACAAACACGUGAAAUAGAAGAAAAAGUCGUAUGUUGUUAGAAUGCAGUUUCUCAACACCUACUUCAGUGCUUUGUUAGGUGUUGCUGCAUCAUUGAAUUACAAACAAUAGAACUGACAUAUUCCUGUGCAUUGUAUUAACCACACUAAAAGUUUUGUUACUAUAAUUCUGGAAGAAACUUUUCACAUCUUAGAAAUCACCUACUCAUAUGUUUUAAGAAGACCAUUUGCUACAACUCCUAAUUUAAAACUAUGUUUCUUUUAUAACCAUUGCAUUUAGCUCUUCUCCCCUCAUCCCUUUUAGAAAUGAGUGAGAUGGAAAUGAGAAAGAGGUUUCUAGAUGCUCACACAAACUCUGUGAUCAUAUUUACCAUACUUGUAUCCAAGAAUCAUUGUUCUAGAAGGCUUGCUGUGGAUUCUCAUUAAGAGGAUUACCCUAAAUGAUGAGACCUAGCUGAGAGCAGGUGGAAGCUGAAAUCCAGUCCAAGCCCCACUUACCAAAUCCUGAACCCAGAUGUGACUUGUCUCCCCCAGAGGGAGGACCUUUUCCUAACUAACACAAAGGCCCAGUGUGGAUCAGAAAUAGUCUACAUUUACUCAUCCUUUGCCAUAAUCUUCAUUCUUGGCCUGAUGCUCUGUCACUGCAACAAAGGUUUUCCAUAUUCAUUCUGAUGACUUACCCUAAAUUUGGCACUUUUUUUCUAUUAAAGCAAUUUUCUGAUUUUUUUUACAUUUGAAGUUUUAUUUCUGUUUUCAAGAGAAAAACAUUCUGCUGUUAAUUCUCAUUGUAGAAUUCUGCCAGAUUGAAUACUCAAUGGAUAAGGACUUUCUUUGCAUAUAGAACACAAGGUCUUUUUUAUUUCCUUAUGAAAUAGAGGUCAAACUUGUACAUUGCAUAAUUGGUCCCAAUUUUUCACCCCUCCUGCAACUCACCUUUUUACUAUGGCCUUCUCAUGGUUAGGAGAAUUUCCCUGUCCUUUGACUUGGUGAUAUGCUUUGGCUAAUCACACAUUGAUAUUGGAAUGAUACUGUGUUUUAAAAGGUCUAACUAAGGCAGGGGUGCCUGGGUGGCUCAGUCAGUUGAGCAUCCAACUUUGGCUCAGGUCGUGAUCUCACUGUUUGUGGGUUCCAGCCCUGUGUCGGACUUUGUGCUGAAUGCUUGCUCAGAGCCUGGAGCCUGCUUCAGAUUUUGUGUCUCCUUCUCUCUCUGCCCCUCCCCUGCUCACACUCUGUCUCACUCUGUCUCUCAAAAAUAAAUAAAUGUAAAAAAAUAAAAUAAAAGGUCCAAGGCAUUUCCACAUACUGUUUUGUACCUCUGUCAUUGCUACCAAUAAAGCAUGGCUCAGCUAGUCUGCUGGUAAAAAGAGAAUGGAAGAUAUGUGGAAGAGAGAUUGUCCGGUUGCCCUGUAGGGCUGCUGUCUGUGGUGCAUGUGGGGGUGAGAAGAACCACCAGCUGAGCCUCCCAUGAUUAACGAAAGCAACCAAACUGCAGGUUCAUAAAAAUUAUCAAUUUUCUUUCAAUCCCCUAAAUUUUGUGUCAUUUUGUUAUGC